rnacentral:ncRNA from 1 species
CGGUAGCUGGACCCACCGGGCUUUCACGAGCCGAACCCAGCCAUUCAAAGUCCAUUCCGGACAACAACCACCCGCGGG